rnacentral:rRNA from 1 species
GACGAACGCUGGCGGCAUGCUUAACACAUGCAAGUCAAGGGGGUCGCAAGACCACUGGCGCACGGGUGAGUAACACGUAGGUGAUCUGCCCCCCAUCACAGACAUAACCCCGGGAAACCGGGGCUAAUAUCUGAUGAGGCCGAGAGGUCAAAGCUUUAUGCGGAUGGGGAUGAGCCUGCGGCUGAUUAGCUAGUUGGUGAGGUAAUGGCUCACCAAGGCGACGAUCAGUAGCUGGUCUGAGAGGACGAACAGCCACACUGGAACUGAGACACGGUCCAGACUCCUACGGGAGGCAGCAGUGAGGAAUAUUGGUCAAUGGGCGCGAGCCUGAACCAGCAAUGCCGCGUGUGGGAUGACA